rnacentral:rRNA from 1 species
CCUACGGGCGGCAGCAGUGAGGAAUAUUGGUCAAUGGCCGUAAGGCUGAACCAGCCAAGUAGCGUGAGGGAAGACUGCCCUAUGGGUUGUAAACCUCUUUUAUGCGGGGAUAAAGGUGUCCACGUGUGGAUUUUUGCAGGUACCUCAUGAAUAAGGACCGGCUAAUUCCGUGCCAGCCGCCGCGGUAAUACGGAAGGUCCGGUCUUUAUCCGGAUUUAUUGGGUUUAAAGGGAGCGUCGGCCGGUCUUUAAGCGUGCCGUGAAAUGUUGGGGCUCAACCAUGGGAGUGCGGCGGGUACUGGAGAACUGGAGUGCGGGGAAGGCAGGCGGAAUUCGUGGUGUAGCGGUGAAAUGCGUAGAUAUCACGAAGAACCCCGAUUGCGAAGGCAGCCUGCCGCAGCGAGACUGACGCUGAAGCUCGAAAGCGCGGGUAUCGAACAGGAUUAGAUACCCCUGUAGUC